GAGGGUAUAGCUCAACAAUAGAGUGUGUGCUUAACAUGCAUGAAGUCCUGGAUUCAAUCUCCAGUACCUCCA
rnacentral:tRNA from 1 species